CCACAGUGCGAGCCUCCUAGGCUAGGCUAACACUCAGGUGCAUGUUCCUUAUCCCUAAAUGUGAGUGGGUUCAGGACCCUAAAUAAUUCAACAAAAGUAAGUAUAAGAUGCUCCUGGAACUUCCAAAUUGGUCACAAUUAGAACAAACGGAGAUUACAAAAAGAAGGAAGCCUUAGAAACAACAACCACUGUUCCACAGAGCCUCGCAGUCACAAAGCCAUCUCGCCCAUUCCCUGAACACUCUGAUAACAGCCUUUGCCACGUGUGUGGCUGGCUCAGCUGUGUACACUCAACCUCACCAGGCAGGAGGGACAGCGGUCCUGUGAAGAACGUGAGCGAAAGUAUUUCAAGCACCCAUUGCCUGUGCCUGUCCAUUAGAGAGGGUUCUUUGACAGCCCGAGGGUCUGGUACAGGACCAGGGCUGGGAAUUCAGCAUGAAGUAUAAGGCCAAUGCCGUCCUCACACUUUCUUGCCCAUACAGGCCACGGGGAGAGGUGCAGAUCUCUCCCACUGCUGGUCAUGAAACAAUAAAAAACAAUCUCCGCC
rnacentral:lncRNA from 1 species